UACAGAGGUCCCGAGCGUUGUUCGGAUUCACUGGGCGUAAAGGGUGCGUAGGUGGUGAGGUAAGUCGGAUGUGAAAUCUCCGAGCUCAACUCGGAAAUGGCAUUGGAAACUACCUUGCUCGAGGGUUGGAGGGGGGACUGGAAUACUUGGUGUAGCAGUGAAAUGCGUAGAGAUCAUGAGGAAGACCAGUGGCGAAGGCGGGUCUCUGGACAGUUCCUGACACUGAGACACGAAGGCCAGGGGAGCAAACGGG
rnacentral:rRNA from 1 species